AGACAAAUUAAUCACAAAAUCCUAACAAAGUUUAUACAAGAAUCAAAUUGAUUAAACAUCAAUCAAGAACAAUUAAAAUUCCACCUAAUUGAAAUUCUACAAUUCUAAUUAAUUCUAACAAUCCUAAUUAAAAUUCUAAAAUCUAUUAAUCCUAAAAUUCUAAUUAAAUCUAAAGUUCAGCGGCAACAACAUUCAACUUCAUCGUGCUUUCUACUUUGCUUCGUCUUCCUUACCUUGCGUCCAAGUAUGAACCCAAACGAGAAAAAAGUUGAAGAAUAACGACUUUAGAAUUGACUUCAAUUACCGAAACCAUAUUAAUCGUUCAUCAUUCAUCUCCAGUUCAUUUCCGUGCGCGCAUAAAUGAUGAAGAACAGACUCCAAAAAUGAGAAAACUCACAGGAUUUGAAGCUAUUACAAACAGGAAUUUAUGUGCAAAAUGGAUGACUUAAUAUGGAAGCAUAUUGGCAUGAAGAUUAUGGAUGAAGGAUUAACAAUAGAUCAUGAAGAAUGAAGAGUGGAACUAUAAAGUUCAAGACUUUUAGAAAACAUGUUGACUUUGGUCAAAGUUGACCAAAACAUCAACUGUUGAGCAAAGUCAACCUUUGGCCAACAUGAUAUUUUUUUGUUAUUUUCUUUAUAUACAUUUGUAAAUGUGAUGGAGUGGACAUUAGUGUAAUAUGACUCUUCGAUUUUAAUGACAAGAAAGUUUUAGAUUUCAAAA